rnacentral:rRNA from 1 species
GUCUCUUUGUUAAAAAUAUAUAAAGAGUUGGGCCUGCUCGGUGAAAUAGAUUUAUUUUUAACAGCUGCGGUAUUUUAACUGUACUAAGGUAGCAUAAUAAUUUGCCUUAUAAUUUGAGGCUAGAAUGAAUGGUUUGACGAAGGUUAAUCUGUCUCUAUCUUAUUUUUUAGAAUUUAAUUUUUAAAGUGAAAAGGCUUGAAUUUUUUAGAGGGACGAGAAGACCCUAAUGAGCUUAUAAUUUUAUUAUUAUUUUAUUAGUUGGAUUGAUAUAGUAAUAUAUAAUUUUAGUUGGGGUGAUUAAGGAAUAAAUUGUAUUAGUAACUUCCUUAGGUUAUAUGUUUUAUUAUAAAGUAACCAAUGUAGUAUUGCUUAUAUUAUAGUUACCAUAGGGAUAACAGCGUAAUUUAUUUAGAGAGUUCUUAUUGAAAAAUAAGAUUGCGACCUCGAUGUUGGAUUAAAGUAUCCUUAAGGUGUAGCAGCUUUAGUAGGUAAAUCUGUUCGAUUUUUAAAACUUUACA